UUACUACUCCCUCCGUCCGGAAUUACUUGUCAAAAAAAUGGAUGUAUCUAGACAUAUUUUAGUUAUAGAUACAUUUUUUUUUGGUGACAAGUAAUUCCGAACGGAGGGAGUAUUUA
rnacentral:pre_miRNA from 1 species